UAUUUCUGCGGUAGUUUAACUGGCUUUGUAUUAGAACACUACCCCUCCGGCAUUUCUGCGCAGAAAUGGGCGUGGUGAAUGUGAAUAUACUGAAGAAAACUGUCUUUAUCGGGGAGGAUUUCUGUUUUAUUAAACAGAAGAAGAAGGUCAUUAAACAGUGUUACUUCAUAGCUGGGCACAAACAGUAUUUACACAGUGUCAAGAAGUUAACCAUAGCUUGACAGAAUGUUAAGCGUAAAAAAAAAAUUAAAGCCAACAACAGUAGUCUUUACAGGCCUCUGCACUACCCCACAUACUCUUUAGUAUUGUUUUGUUGGCCUGGUUAUGUCAUGCUUUAAUUUUAUUUUUUAUGUAUAAACUGCCCCGUAGUCCUGACAAUAGAUUUGCACCGUAAUCGCUUUUGCGGGGGGCAAGCCCACCUGCACCCGCCAUGUUUCUUUAUUUAAAUUCUCCACGUUUCUUUACAAACAUUUCAUGCAUGAGGCGGCCAGAGCAGUUUUUCAGAAGGAGAACCAUUUGGAGACUUACUCAUGGUGAAAUUAAGGAAUCCGUGAAGAAGCAGCUGUUGAAAAGGGUUCAGAAUAUGACUACCCCCAAAAGAAGCAGGGAGUGACCCCUUCAAGAAAGAGACCAUGAUGCCUUAGCUUUCAAAACAGCCAGGAGAUGUCCACUGAUGAGACUGAUGACUCUACCACAAUGUAGCACCCCAGAGCUUGACCGGCUGGAUUGUAAGAACACGAACUGAAAUAUGAUGUUCUUGUAUAAAUACAACUUCUACAAAGAAAACAUUACAUUUCACAGUAUGUGUUAAUUGCAAUUACAGAUAGUCUAAAGAAACAGAAAAGACAUUAUACAACUCUACAGAUCCACAAAAGCAAGGUCAGACCCAACAAGAAGGAUGUUUCACAGCUCCUGGAUCUUGAAUUCCAAGCAAGACAUGCCUUCAUUGACUCUGUUGUUACUAAGGGGCAGGACAACCAUACCAAAAUUCUUUGAGCAUAUUCUUGCUUCAGGGAACUGGCUCAUGUAAUCAAAUAUGCUCAUUUUAAGUAGACAUAUAUGUAACCAAAUUCUAAAUGAGAUAUAGGGUACCAAUAUCAGCUGAGUCACUAUAAUGAAUGCAGAAUGAAACAUGCAAAAUGUAUUCUUUUUGAAUAACCACAAAAAUAUUAAAACUUUUUUGAUCUUU